UACGGAGGGUGCGAACGUUAAUCGGAAUCACUGGGCGUAAAGCGCGCGUAGGCGGUCUGUUAAGUGGGAUGUGAAAUCCCCGGGCUCAACCUGGGAAUUGCGUUGGAGACUGCAAGGCUGGAGUCUGGCAGAGGGGGGUAGAAUUCCACGGUGUAGCAGUGAAAUGCGUAGAGAUGUGGAGGAACACCGAUGGCGAAGGCAGCCCCCUGGGGUCAAG
rnacentral:rRNA from 1 species